UGGUAAACUGUACCUGGCUAAGACUGU
rnacentral:piRNA from 1 species